GCUCCAAUAGCGUAUAUUAACGUUGUUGCAGUUAAAAGGCUCGUAGUCGAACUUCUGAUCUGAUAAGUUGGUCAUCUGCCAAGCGCAGUUGCAUCCUUCUUUGUCGGUCAUCCUUCUGGACUCUGCCUCUGCCUUUUAUUAGGUGGUCCGUACGAUCCAGAUCUUUUACUGUGAGUAAUCAGAGUGUUUCAAGCAGGUCU
rnacentral:rRNA from 1 species